ACAGCACCACCAUUGAUAUUGAAUUGGCCCAGCAACAGCACCAGUCCGGCCCGCAGGAGCCCCAGUCCAGGAUGACCCAUCCACUCCCCUGACCCAUAGCUCAUCAUACUUGAUAUCCGGAAAAAUGGGGCCUAAUGCAUGUGCUUAAAUUGUUGUCACAGAUUAGCCGUGCAGUCCACACAGGCUAAUCAUGGAUAACACUCCUCUUAAAGCAGAGCACCAGCAUUGAUAUCGAGUUGGCCCAGAAACCACACCAGUCACGCCUGCAGGAGCCCCAGUCCAGAACGACCCUUCCCCUGCCUUGACUUUUAACUACUCCCCCUUGACCUCCUGCCUCAAAAAGUCAGCAUCGUUGAACAACUCCGUUCUGCAGGAAAUUCUGAGCAUGAAUCUGUUCUGAACAAACGCAAUGCCCACGUUACGUUUUCCAAACAUAAGCCUGGGUAGUUUUGUUAAGCUGGAGUUGCGCGUGGGCCUGAAAGGGACUAGUGUUACAGACACGAAAAGUUAUAGCAGUAGUUAUGGUAACGCUAACAGUCAGUUGUUGCUGUUGGACAUCACAACAAAUAUCAUGAAGAAUAAAAAGUUCAAUAACUCAUUCCAAUCUUUAUGAGACAAACAGAAAUUGAACGGGAGAAAAUCAAAGAACAAUAAAAGCGUAAGCUUUCCUAGUGGGAUACUUUUGCUGUUGAAAGUUUGGACAACAGUAGGGUUGCGGACUGCCCCAGAUUGUCCUCUCAGCGGCAAAAAUAUCAUAAUAGAACGGACUUUUGGCAAUGUUACUGACAAAGAAAGGCAAUAAUGACUUGGUUGUCAAUACCCAGAGCAAGAUACAUCCAUGCUGACAAAGAAAGGCAGUAAUGACUUGGUUGUGAACACCCAGAGCGCGAUACAUCCAUGCUGACACAGUAAGGCAGUAAUGACUUGGUUGUGAACACUCAGAGCACAAUACAUCCGUGCUGACACAGAAAGGCAGUAAUAACUUGGUUGUGAACACCCAGAGCACAAUACAUACAUGCUGACACAGAAAGGAAGUAAUGACUUGGUUGUGAACACCCAGAGCACGAUACAUCCAUGCUGACACAGAAAGGCAGUAUGACUUGGCUGUGAACACAGAACACAAUACACCCAUGCUGACACAGAAAGGCAGUAAUGACUUGGUUGUGAACACCCAAAGCAAGAUAUUUCCAUGCUGACACAGAAAGGCAGUAAUGACUAUGCUGUGAACACCUUGAGCAAGAUAUAUCCUUGCUAACACAGAAAGGCAGUAAUGACUAUGCUGUGAACACCCGGAGCAUAAUACAUCCAUGCUGACACAGAAAGGCAGUAAUGACUUGGUUGUGAACACCCAGGGCAAGAUAUAUCCAUGCUGACACAGAAAGGCAGUAAUGACUAUGCUGUGAACACCCAGAGCAAGAUAUAUACAUGCUGACACAGAAAGGCAGUAAUGAUUAUGCUGUCUAAACCCACAGAAAGAUAUAUCCAUGCUGACACAGAAAAGCAGUAAUGACUAUGCAGUGAACACCCAGAGCAAGAUAUAUCCAUGCUGACACAGAAAGGCAGUAAUGACUUGGUUUUGAACAACCAGAGCAAGAUAUAUCCAUGCUGACACAGAAAGGCAGUAAUGACUUGGCUGUGAACACAGAACCCGAUACACCCAUGCUGACACAGAAAAGGCAGUAAUGACUUGGCAGUAAACACAGAACACAAUACACCCAUGCUGACACAGAAAGGCAGUAAUGACUUUGCUGUGAACACAGAGCACAAUACAUCCAUGCUGACACAAAAAGGCAGUAAUGACUUGGCUGUGAGCACAGAACACCAUACAUCCAUGCUGAUACAAAAAGGCAGUAAUGACAUGGCUGUGAACACAGAGCACAAUACAUCCAUGCUGACACAGAAAGGCAGUUAUGACUUGGUUGUGAACACAGAGCACAAUACAUCGUUGUUGACACAGAAAGGCAGUAAUGACUUGGCUGUGAACACAGAGCACAAUACAUCCAUGCUGACACAGAAAGGCAGUUAUGACUUGGUUGUGAACACAGAGCACAAUACAUCCUUGUUGACACAGAAAGACAGUUAUGACUUUGCUGUGAACUCAGAGCACGAUACAUCCAUGCUGACACAGAAAGGCAGUAAUGACUAUGCUGCAAACACCCAGAGCACAAUACAUCCAUGCUGAAACAGAAAGGCAGUCAUGACUAUGCAGUGAACACCCAGAGCAAGAUAUAUCCAUGCUGACACAGAAAGGAAGUAAUGACUAUGCUGUGAACACCCAGAGCAAGAUAUAUCCAAUGUGACACAGAAAGGCAGUAAUGACUAUGCCAUGAACACCCAGAACACAAUACAUCCAUGCUGAAACAGAAAGUCAGUAAUGACUUGGUUGUGAACUCAGAGCACAAUACAUCCAUGCUGACACAGAAAGGCAGUAAUGACUUUGCUGUGAACUCAGAGCACGAUACAUCCAUGCUGACACAGAAAGGCAGUAAUGACUUGGAUGUAAACACCCAGAGCACAAUACAUCCAUGAUUACACAGAAAGGCAGUAAAGACUUGGUUGUAAACACCCAGAGCACAAUACAUCCAUGCUGACACAGAAAGGCAGUAAAGACUUUGUUGUAAACACUAAGAUAUCCAUACAUCCAUGGGGUGUGCCACAGACGCAAAUUACGCCCACCAUUUUGAACAAGGUGCUUAAAGUGAACACGUCUGGUUUUGUUAUGAGCACUUAGCACUCCGAGCCUAAAAGGCCUCACAUUGAAUUGAUGCAAGAGAAGGCUUUGAAAAAUAACAGCAGUUUUGUUGUGUGGUCCAGUACGCCCUUCGACUCGCAACCUGAAGAAAGCAGAACUCAAACUCGUCUCUUAGCAAUAUCAGCAAGGCCAUCAUGUCAAUCUCAGCCUCUAGAGCUUCAGUGAACUUAACUAGCAAACAUGACAAACGUCAUUGAAGUGAAAGUCGAUGACAACCCCCUUCUUGCACAAAUACUACAACUCGCUUAAGAAAUUCAGCAUGAAGACGUCUUGCGUCAGACUACCAAGCCUCCUAUCAAUAUCUCCUCCCAUGUUGGCUACAUCAACACUUCCAACAGCAGAGCCUUGGUGAGUUUGACUUCCGUCUUAGCAUCGAUGUCGCUUAGCAACAAUUGGAUGAUGGGCGUCGACAAAUUAUGCCGGAAAAGUCGCUCGAACUGAAACUAUCUGAUCCAACAGGUAGAGCAGGCGUUGCGUGACAUGUCCAUUAAUGUGACUACUCUAUAUGUUGUUCUCGAAUAAUGUGAACCUUAGGCCUGGAGAGCAGUAUGCGAUUGACGCCAUUCAACAACAGUUGUCGGCAAUUCUCGGGUUUGGGGGUGGCGACUUCGGCGUCGGAACUCGCUCCAUCUCUGUCUAAGGCCCAGUCGCAGCAGCAGCAGCAGCAACAAGAACAAUAAGUAGUAUCUUAGUGGUGUUCUGGGAUAUGGGGCUUCAUGUAUGUGCUUAAAUUGUCAUCCAAGAUUAGCCUGUGCAGACUGCACCUACAUUAAGUCAUAUUAAAUUGUCAUCCCAGAUUAGCCUGUGCAGACUGCACAUACAUUAAGUCCUAUUAAAGUGUCAUCCCAGAUUAGCCUGUGCAGACUGCACAUACAUUAAGUCAUAUUAAAGUGUCAUCCCAGAUUAGCCUGUGCAGAUUGCACAUACAUUAAGUCCUAUUAAAGUGUCAUCUCAGAUAAGCCUGUGCAGACUGCACAUGCAUUAAGACCUAUUAAAGUGUCAUCCCAGAUUAGCCUGUGCUGAUUGCACAUUCUUAAAAUCCUAUUAAAGUGUCAUCCAAGAUUAGCCUGUGCAGACUGCACAUACACUAAGUCCUAUUAAAGUGUCAUCCCAGAUUAGCCUGUGCAGACUGCACAUACAUUUAGUACUAUUAAAGUGUCAUCUCAGAUUAGCCUGUGCAGACUGCACAUACAUUUAGUCCUAUUAAAGUGUCAUCCCAGAUUAGCUUGUGCAGACUGCACAUACAUUAAGUCCUAUUAAAGUGUCAUUUCAGAUUAGCCUGUGCAGACUGCACAUACAUUAAGUCCUAUUUAAGUGUCAUCCCAGAUUAGCCUGUGCAGACUGCUCAUACAUUAAGCCCUAUUUUCCCAGAAUGAGACUCGUAUACUUCACUUAACAUCAGUAUUUUAUGUGCCUGAAAAGUUCCUAGCAUCAAAUGGGAAUUAUGUGCUUUUAAAUUGAUCACACAUAGUAAAUAAAUUGCAAAUAGCACUUGAUCUGAUAUCAAUUUUAAUUGUUUCUGCCUGAUUGAGAAAAAGGUCAAAGCAUCAAAUGGUAAGUAUGUGUUUUUAAAAUUAAUCAACUUGGUAAAUAAAUAGCAAUUGAUCUAAUAUCAGGUUUAAUCAUAGAAGGUAAAGGCAUAGUUUUGUGUAUUUUUCGGCCGAAAUUCAGCUCUUGAACAAAGCGUUUAUCUUUUACAAAAUCAGCUGUAAUAGACUUGUUAAAUUUGAUUUAAUUUUAGCAAAACAAUUAUUUAAAUGACUUCAGCACAUUAUACAAUUAUUACCUUUAAUAUUUUUUUAAUUUCCUGAAUUUUGUUUUAAGAGCCGGUUCCUACAGGAUCCCAUGCAAUAGAUUGGUACCCAGCUGAACAACAGGCUUUCGGGUAAGCUGGGCCCGGAUAGGUGCAGCCAGUCUAAAGCUGGGGCUUCAAACUUUCCUGCCAAGUGGGCUGAUAUUACCUCUUCUACAAGGGACAUAUGUCAGUGAUGUGCAAAGAGCUGGUUUUCUGUUCACAGAGAAAUAUCCUAACAACUCCAACUCAGCCACUACAUCUCAACAGACACCCCGAAUAUCAAGGCGUUAAGUUUCUUCUGGAUGCAGUUACAGUCACAGCUUUCAAGCCAGCAGCUGUCGAUGUAUUGAGAUUUUCUCCUCUCCAUGUUACCUGACCUGCUGCCUGUGAACAUCCUGCACAUAGAACCUUUAUCCCAAUCGAUGUAAUUAAACCGGCCAAUCAAAAAGAUAGCCUGGUACAGGACUUGUCAUUAGAUUGAUGCCAUGCAUGCCUUUGAAGAUCAUUUAUACAUACAAUUUAAGCAUGAUAGUCAAUAAGUGCCUGCGUUGGCUUCUUAAAAGACUCAUAGUCCUAAGCAUUUACGAUGGAAUUCCUCAUCUUGAAAUAUUGGGAAAGCAGGAAAACACCUGUCACUGUUAAGAAAAAAAUGAGGGAAUGACAAAGAACAAUAAGACCAGCCAAGUCCUGUGAUCAGACAAGUCCUGUGAUCAGACACGUCAUGUGAUAAGCCAAGUCUUAAGAUCAGCUUAGUUCUGUGGCCAGACACGUCUUGUGGCCAGCCAAGUGUUUUACCAGCCAUGUCCUGUGACCAGCGAAGUCAAGUGAUCAGCCAAGUCUUAGGAUCAGCUAAAUUGUGUGGCCAGCCAAGUCAUGUGACCAGCCAAGUGUUUUUACCAGCCAUGUCCUAUGACCAGCAGCUUUGUCUCGAGUGUACAGUCUGAUUGUAUGGGAAGAAAAAUCUACAUUUCUUAUUGUAUGGGCAUAAUGAUACUGACAGUAUCUUGAUGAUUAAGUAUUUUGUUAUAUAUUGGUAAAUAGACAAUAUGAUAAGGGGAAACUCAGUAAUAGCAGUAAUUUAAAGUUUUAUUUCAAGAGCAAAAUAAUGCAAGUACUACAAUUGUGUCUGUAUUCAGAAACUGACUCUAUAUAGCUUUAUCCUGAUUAUCGUAAACAGACAGACACAAAUGAUUUUACAAUUGUUGUUUUUUAAACAUUGAUUUUAAGCCUUCACAAAGUUGUUUAAAUAAUGCUGAUACCUUGGACAAUAUUUAGCUUAUUUAUUGUAUAAACAAGACAUGCUUAUUUUUAGUUUUUACCUAUAAAAUAGCAAUAGCAAUAGGUAAAAUACUUGAUCAGAACGGUUCAUAAUUGAGAUAUGCUUCUAUUUUGAUAUGGUUUUCAUUCUGUCUGUGUACAUUUCUCAUCAGUUUGCUCUUUAAUGAGGCAGUUUUUUGUCAAGAAUUUCAUGUAGUGAUGUUAUAGUAAAAUAUCAAAUAAUAAUUUGAUUUAUUCAAACUAUAUUAACCUUCUGUUAAUUAUCAAUUUAUUUAUUGACAACAGAUACUUUGUUUAAUAUUAACAAUAGUUAAGCGCGUUAUAAAAAUUGAGUGAAUGUACAUGCAUAAUAUUGCGAUAAUUGAUGCACACAUUAAUGGAAAACUAUUUAAUAAAGUGGAAUUUAGAAGUACAUCUUAAUUGUAAUGGAGUUUGUUUAAUUAUUAAAAAAAGGAUGCUUUCAUUGUUGAAAAUAUGAUAGUAAUUCCUCCACAAGUAAUUUUAUUUCAAAGUGAGUAUUUUCAUGAAGAAUGAUCCUAGAUAUGGUUGUAGAUUGUUCUUGUUGUAUCAUAUACUGACAUGCUCAUCAUUUGUGUUGACAUUUGCAUUCUAGCAUUAAAAGUUCAUUAUGCUUUAAAUAUUUGUAUGUACACAUUUGUGACCAGCUUUUCUAAUGUAAUAAGUGAAUAACGUAACACAGAUUUAUGUGUCUCUGUAUAUAAGUUUAUUUUGUCAUUUGUAAAUAGAUCAACUGCAAAGCUAAUGUUUUUGUUUGUACAUUAUUUAUAAAAUGUUGCCAUUUCAAACAGAUACAUUCACUGUUUGAAUUCACUUGUACAAAUUUGUUUCAUAUUAAACAUCAUUUACAUAUCAGGCAAUAGAGAAAAAGAAUUGCUUUGGAUAAAAGAGCACAUUAACCUGUAAAGUAAAUUAAGACAUCAGAUUAUUAACAUAAUAAUAUACUUUAAGCAUUAGAAACAGCGUGUUUUAUGUCAAGCUUUUCAGUUAACAUAAUUAAGCAACAACUAUCUGGAAAUUUGGAAAACAGUGAAGAACGAUUCAAGGGAGAGCAACUGUGAUAUACUAAAUAAAAGUCGUCUCCCUUGUUAGAGUAUAAUUGUACCUCUCAACGUAACAAGAACAUUGAAUCUUUUUUUAUAUUAUUCCACACUAUAAACUAUAUACUAUAUUCAUUCAAUAAUCACUAAAGAAAUAUGGUUUGCAUAAUUGUUUAUUUCUAUGCGUUAUACCAAAUUCACCAGUAUGGCAUCAAUUUAAGUUCAUCAUAUUUUUUUUGCCAAAAUUGGCCAUACAGUGCUAAAAAUUUGGUAUUCUGACUAUUAUUAGUGCAUGUUCUCAUACAAUAUCACAUUGUAUAUUAUAACACCGAAGCAAUUCUGACUAUUAUUAGUGCAUGUUCUCAUACAAUAUCACAUUGUAUAUUUUAACACUGAAGCAAUAUGUGUUAAUAUAUUAAUUUUUAUUUAUUGACUUGUUGUUGCUUGUUAAGGUGUCUAAUUUUGAAUUAUAGCUGUAAAUUGAUUGUGACUAUUUUCCAGUUUUGAAUGAUUGCUUUUAGUUGAUUGUUUACAAGUGUGUUAAAGCUGUUUUCAUGUUGACCGCUCCACAUUAAAUGUCGUCGACGCGCAUUAACUGCGGCAAGGUUCCGUAAAACUCCCAACAAAUCUGAUGUCUUAUGAUUGGAUUCCAUACACACGUGGUUGUUUAUACUCAGCUAGCUUUGCAUUAAACAUGUCUGCUUUGUUGUUGAACAAUUAUACACAGCUUUUUAUUGGACAAAAUUGUGUAGUAUUUCAAAUUUUUGCUUUCGAUUUUUUAUUUCCAACAAAAAUAUAUUUUGUUUAUUUGUAUGUAUAUUUAGCUAUAAUAAAUUUGUUUCUAUUAUAUAUAAACAACCUAUUUAUAAGCAAUAAACUAUAUUGGUAAAAGUAGAUUUAAGGUUCAAAAUCAUGUCUUAAUUUGUUUGAUUAUCCCAAAUUAACAUUUUGCAAAAGCAAAACUUGUUGAAUAAAGAAAAGUUUAUGCAACCUACCACCAGGUCUUUUAACCAUUGAUUGUUUAUCACUAAUGAUCAGGACUUUAUCAGGGAUAAAUAAUUUCCUAUGCACGGUUAUAAUGUUUGUGUUUUUGAAUUGAAUAAUUUCUGUAGUUUGGGGAACAUUAAUUGCUUGUUUUUUUAAAGACAUAGCACAUGUCAUAUAAUAUAGUAUCAUUGUAGUUUUGGUAUGUUUAGGGAUAUAAUCAUGUUAAUGUAUGUGAUUUGCUGAUCCAUUUCUUGUUGUUUCACUCCAUUUAAUGUAUAUAGCCAUGCAUAGAGCAGGAAUAUUGUUGUACUGUGAAAAAAAUGUUGUUAUAGCAAAUAAAAAAUGUAUGUUAA